GUGGGGAAUAUUGGACAAUGGGCGAAAGCCUGAUCCAGCCAUGCCGCGUGUGUGAAGAAGGUCUUCGGAUUGUAAAGCACUUUAAGUUGGGAGGAAGGGCAGUUACCUAAUACGUGAUUGUCUUGACGUUACCGACAGAAUAAGCACCGGCUAACUCUGUGCCAGCAGCCGCGGUAAUACAGAGGGUGCAAGCGUUAAUCGGAAUUACUGGGCGUAAAGCGCGCGUAGGUGGUUUGUUAAGUUGAAUGUGAAAUCCCCGGGCUCAACCUGGGAACUGCAUCCAAAACUGGCAAGCUAGAGUAUGGUAGAGGGUAGUGGAAUUUCCUGUGUAGCGGUGAAAUGCGUAGAUAUAGGAAGGAACACCAGUGGCGAAGGCGACUACCUGGACUGAUACUGACACUGAGGUGCGAAAGCGUGGGGAGCAA
rnacentral:rRNA from 1 species